rnacentral:rRNA from 1 species
UACGGAGGGUGCAAGCGUUAUCCGGAUUCACUGGGUUUAAAGGGUGCGUAGGUGGGUAGGUAAGUCAGUGGUGAAAUCCCCGAGCUUAACUUGGGAACUGCCAUUGAUACUAUUUGUCUUGAAUACUGUGGAGGUUAGCGGAAUAUGUCAUGUAGCGGUGAAAUGCUUAGAUAUGACAUAGAACACCCAUUGCGAAGGCAGCUCGCUACACUAUUAUUGACGCUGAGGCACGAAAGCGUGGGGAUCAAACAGG